CCUUGUCACUUGUUCGUCUCGUCUAAUAUAAAGAACUGGACGGAGAACUGAUAAGGGC
rnacentral:pre_miRNA from 1 species